AAAUUGAAGAGUUUGAUCAUGGCUCAGAUUGAACGCUGGCGGCAGGCUUAACACAUGCAAGUCGAACGGUAACAGGAAGCAGCUUGCUGCUUUGCUGACGAGUGGCGGACGGGUGAGUAAUGUCUGGGAAACUGCCUGAUGGAGGGGGAUAACUACUGGAAACGGUGGCUAAUACCGCAUAACGUCGCAAGACCAAAGAGGGGGACCUUCGGGCCUCUUGCCAUCAGAUGUGCCCAGAUGGGAUUAGCUAGUUGGUGAGGUAACGGCUCACCAAGGCGACGAUCCCUAGCUGGUCUGAGAGGAUGACCAGCCACACUGGAACUGAGACACGGUCCAGACUCCUACGGGAGGCAGCAGUGGGGAAUAUUGCACAAUGGGCGCAAGCCUGAUGCAGCCAUGCCGCGUGUAUGAAGAAGGCCUUCGGGUUGUAAAGUACUUUCAGCGGGGAGGAAGGUGUUGUGGUUAAUAACCACAGCAAUUGACGUUACCCGCAGAAGAAGCACCGGCUAACUCCGUGCCAGCAGCCGCGGUAAUACGGAGGGUGCAAGCGUUAAUCGGAAUUACUGGGCGUAAAGCGCACGCAGGCGGUCUGUCAAGUCGGAUGUGAAAUCCCCGGGCUCAACCUGGGAACUGCAUUCGAAACUGGCAGGCUUGAGUCUUGUAGAGGGGGGUAGAAUUCCAGGUGUAGCGGUGAAAUGCGUAGAGAUCUGGAGGAAUACCGGUGGCGAAGGCGGCCCCCUGGACAAAGACUGACGCUCAGGUGCGAAAGCGUGGGGAGCAAACAGGAUUAGAUACCCUGGUAGUCCACGCCGUAAACGAUGUCUACUUGGAGGUUGUGCCCUUGAGGCGUGGCUUCCGGAGCUAACGCGUUAAGUAGACCGCCUGGGGAGUACGGCCGCAAGGUUAAAACUCAAAUGAAUUGACGGGGGCCCGCACAAGCGGUGGAGCAUGUGGUUUAAUUCGAUGCAACGCGAAGAACCUUACCUGGUCUUGACAUCCACGGAAGUUUUCAGAGAUGAGAAUGUGCCUUCGGGAACCGUGAGACAGGUGCUGCAUGGCUGUCGUCAGCUCGUGUUGUGAAAUGUUGGGUUAAGUCCCGCAACGAGCGCAACCCUUAUCCUUUGUUGCCAGCGGUCCGGCCGGGAACUCAAAGGAGACUGCCAGUGAUAAACUGGAGGAAGGUGGGGAUGACGUCAAGUCAUCAUGGCCCUUACGACCAGGGCUACACACGUGCUACAAUGGCGCAUACAAAGAGAAGCGACCUCGCGAGAGCAAGCGGACCUCAUAAAGUGCGUCGUAGUCCGGAUUGGAGUCUGCAACUCGACUCCAUGAAGUCGGAAUCGCUAGUAAUCGUGGAUCAGAAUGCCACGGUGAAUACGUUCCCGGGCCUUGUACACACCGCCCGUCACACCAUGGGAGUGGGUUGCAAAAGAAGUAGGUAGCUUAACCUUCGGGAGGGCGCUUACCACUUUGUGAUUCAUGACUGGGGUGAAGUCGUAACAAGGUAACCGUAGGGGAACCUGCGGUUGGAUCACCUCCUUACCUUAAAGAAGC
rnacentral:rRNA from 1 species